UACGUAGGGUGCAAGCGUGUCCGGAAUUAUUGGGCGUAAAGAGCUCGUAGGCGGUCUGUCGCGUCUGCUGUGAAAACCUAGGGCUUAACUCUGGGCGUGCAGUGGGUACGGGCAGGCUAGAGUGCGGUAGGGGAGACUGGAAUUCCUGGUGUAGCGGUGAAAUGCGCAGAUAUCGAGGAGGAACACCGGUGGCGAAGGCGGGUCUCUGGGCCGUAACUGACGCUGAGGAGCGAAAGCAUGGGGAGCGAACAGG
rnacentral:rRNA from 1 species